GGCUGGUGAUUUAAUUAUUUGGAGAAAGAAAGUGGUGUUGCAUUUGGUGGCGCGCUGUGAUGUCCUGAAUGGAGAAGCAUUUUGGCUUUUCUUGGAGAAAGCUCACAACCCAAUAAUUGAAGAAGAGGUGUGGCAACAAUAAAAAAAAAACAAAAAACACAUGGCCCAAGCACACAACUCACAUUGAGAUGCAGCCUUCACACGGUCUGCAUAUAAAAAAUGACACCCAGCUACUGCAACCCGAGGAGUGCUGAAGCAAGC
rnacentral:lncRNA from 1 species